rnacentral:rRNA from 1 species
UGGGGAAUAUUGCACAAUGGGCGCAAGCCUGAUGCAGCCAUGCCGCGUGUAUGAAGAAGGCCUUCGGGUUGUAAAGUACUUUCAGCGGGGAGGAAGGGAGUAAAGUUAAUACCUCUGCUCAUUGACGUUACCCGCAGAAGAAGCACCUGCUAACUCCGUGCCAGCAGCCGCGGUAAUACGGAGGGUGCAAGCGUUAAUCGGAAUUACUGGGCGUAAAGCGCACGCAGGUGGUUUGUUAAGUCAGAUGUGAAAUCCCCAGGCUCAGCCUGGGAAAUGCAUCUGAUACUGGCCAGCUUGAGUCUCGUAGAGGGGGGUAGAAUUCCGAGAGUGGCAGUGUAAUGCGUAUAUAUCUGUUUGAAAACCGGUGUCGAAGGCGACCCCCUGGACGAAGACUGACGCACAGGUGCGAAAACGUGGGGAGCAAACAGG